rnacentral:rRNA from 1 species
GUUUGAUCCUGGCUCAGAUUGAACGCUGGCGGCAUGCCUUACACAUGCAAGUCGAACGGUAACGGGCCUUCGGGUGCCGACGAGUGGCGAACGGGUGAGUAAUGUAUCGGAACGUACCUUUCAGUGGGGGAUAACGUAGCGAAAGUUACGCUAAUACCGCAUAUUCUGUGCGCAGGAAAGCAGGGGAUCGCAAGACCUUGCGCUGAUUGAGCGGCCGAUAUCAGAUUAGCUAGUUGGUGAGGUAAAGGCUCACCAAGGCGACGAUCUGUAGCGGGUCUGAGAGGAUGAUCAGCCACACUGGGACUGAGACACGGCCCAGACUCCUACGGGAGGCAGCAGUGGGGAAUUUUGGACAAUGGGCGCAAGCCUGAUCCAGCCAUUCCGCGUGCAGGACUAAGGCC